AUUAAUUUCCAGCAAAUGUUCUUCCAUUCCAAAUAAAUAAACAAUCCCAAGCUCCAAUAUUUUGGCUAAUCAAACUUUGGAGAUGUUCUACUACAUAAAACUCAAAAGAGAUCACGUACGGUUUUAGUGGAACAAGGACUUGAUCUCAGUUGAUCUAUCCCCUUAUGCUUAUGAAGCAGGGAUUCAAUAGUAAAUUCUUUCCUGCUAUUAUGCUCAAUUUUUGGAUAAAGGACAUAUUUUUUGAUCGAUUUGUUUUGCAGAAUUUUUGCAUGUAGAGGACAUAUUGAGAAAAGAGCUAGCGUCCAUCUCAGGCUAAUCAUUUAAACAAACACUAGAGUACCCGUCGUUUAUUGUUGUGUUUGACGGAUUUAAAUGGCCGGUCAUUGUUGUUUAGUGAUGAAAAUGUUGCGAUAGAAAUCAAAUACAUUGAUGGAUUUUUGUGAACACUUGAAUAAUGAUGCUUCCAUCAAAUUCAACUGUUGUAGUAGAGAGCUAAAAGAACGUCCCAGCCAUUUUUAGACGUUUGCGGCAACGACUGUGCAUCCUAUUGUGAAAGUAACAAUAUAAUCGAAAUUUAUUUAUACGAACGGUGUUGUUAGCAUAACUAGACACCGCAUUCGUAUACGGACGGUGUUGUUAACAUGUGUAGGCACUGAUUUCUUGCUUCUUCAUGAUUAUAAAUAUUCAUGAAACAUUUUUAAUCCCUUUGAGUUGGUGAUUCCUGAAGCUGUUCAAGCUAUGUACUUGAGUAAACUCGAAGAACAUGGGCUAUUGCCAAUCCCCCGCACUCAGAGAAAGUUUUGCUGUCAAGUUUUCGUUUUCUUAUUCUUUUCGUAAUUUGUUCUAUGUAGGAUUAGGUCAUUUUUGGAGGGAUAACUUACACUGACAUGAUGAAUUUUGUUUGGCAGAAACUAAUGUUUGCAUAUUCAUUCAGUAAUAAAUGCUGAUAAAAUUGAUUUGCAACGGGAAAGUUGGAGAUGCUCUUGAGUUUUGUCACGAAGAGUUUGCACCGAAAAGAAAAAGUUAAUAUAGUUCCUUGGCCACCUUCAGGUAGCAUGACUACAUGAUUCCCUCUUAUUGAAUUCAUCAAGCUUUUUCUUAUGUCAAUUGUGUGUGUCUCCAUUACCCGUAGCAAACCUUCUUAGAAGAAAUAAAGAGGACAGUGGCACUUUUGGCGUGUUAGAAAAAUUCUACACAUACCCUAACAUAGAACUUCUCACUCAAAUUAUUACUUUCUAUCUCUUUUGUUACCAUGUGUUGUUUUGCUAACAAAUUACAGUAAGUCUCUGAUUAGGAGCUAAUGAUAGCUCACUGAUGAUGUUGUGGGUAAUAUACUCUUGAAAAAAUUAAUUUUGAAUUGGUCGUUCUUCUUUUUUAUGCGUUACUAUAAUGAGAGGACUAUGUGGUUGCCUAUUCUGGUGAUUUUAAUUAGGCAUGUCAUGGUCAGCCUUUGCAAUGGAUUUAUCAUCUGUUUUCUUACCCGCCUAAUAAUGUUUCUAGUUGCUACCAAAUAUUUUAUUAGAAUUCUAGCAUUUAUUAGAAUUUUUGCUAUACAAUAAUGUCAAUGUAGUGCAUCUGAGAAAGUCUUCUUCCCAAAACCCCAAGGUGUUUUGUGUAGCAUUAAAAGCGAGUAUAAUAAGCUUCCUUCCCCAAAGGUAUAUGCUUUAUGGGGCUGAUUUUUGUAUCUCCUUUCCCUAUAUCACCAUUUUACAUUAGUUUUUUUUGUCAUAGGAAUUUGGAGCGGAAAUAUAAUAACUAGAGAUUGGGUUACUUAGAUAAUCUUCAGGUUAUUUAUUUUUUUAUAUAAUGAAGGUUUAUUUGUUGUCUUCUUACAUGAUUUGGAAGUGAGGCAUCUACAACCCAUUAUUUCUUCUUUCUCUGUUGUCUUCAUUUUACCUAAGUAGUUUCUGUAUUAUGAAUUGAUGUUGUGAAGCUGGACUUAAUCAAGAUGUGGAUAUUAAGUUACAUUUUUAGUGAUGAGGCUUUGCUGAGUGUGGAUUCUUAGCUCAAGUUUUCUUAACUCAAGUUAUAUAUAUAUAUCGCGGUACUAUGCAGUGUGUAUAGAAGUAAGUUAACGUGUAUUAUCCAUUGCUUCUAAUCUACUUUUCAUUAGCAUUUU